rnacentral:rRNA from 1 species
UACGUAGGGGGCAAGCGUUGUCCGGAAUCAUUGGGCGUAAAGAGCGUGUAGGCGGCCCGGUAAGUCCGCUGUGAAAGUCGAGGGCUCAACCCUCGAAUGCCGGCGGAUACUGUCGGGCUAGAGUCCGGAAGAGGCGAGUGGAAUUCCUGGUGUAGCGGUGAAAUGCGCAGAUAUCAGGAGGAACACCUACGGCGAAGGCAGCUCGCUGGGACGGUACUGACGCUGAGACGCGAAAGCGUGGGAGCAACAGG